CCCUGCAAAGGAAGGAAAGCUACAAAAGUGAAUCCAGUGCUACACUGGAGAAAUGAUGAAAACUCCCUGUGGAUUCCCAGAUCUCCGCCUUGGAGAGGAUAAUCCUUUAAAAUGAUACAUGGUGGUGAAUGAUCCUUCCCUGGUGAGCGGAGGGAGGGCCCUCUCCGUGGACUAGCCGGGGUUGGAUUGGCUGACAGAGUCCUAGGCUGCUUCUUAUAUGGAUCUGUGUGUGUGUUAUGUACUAGACUGUCCAGUAAGGGAGAUCACAAUGGACAAUGGCAUCCCAGGGGUAAGACCAAGGAACAGCUGUGCAGGGAGGGGAGGUAGAAAAUGCACACUUCCCAUGGGCCCUACAAAAUCCCUGACAAGCAGCUCAGGGACGAGGGCUAACAGUUUGAGGGGAGCACACAGGGGUGAGUGGAUGGUCACAGUGUGAUUAUUCCCGCCUAGACACCCCAGGCCAGGGAAUGGUGCCAGGUGUAUUUAUAGGAUGGGUCUUUCUUCCUGUAGACUGCCCGGGACAGCCUCACGGACACACCCAGAGCCGAGCCUCCUACAUCGGUCUAGACGCAGCCGAGCUGGCAGAGAAGAUUAAUGGUCACUGGCUGCUGCGCCUCCGGCCCACUCGCCCUUUAGCCGGGGCUCUACACACACCACCACCGCCCAGAGGACUACAGAGAAGACAGGCUGAGGAUUAUCUGUGGGAAUGUGCACAUUUACUAAGCUCACGUCCCCCCGGAGACAUACAGAGAGUUCACUUACACUCUAAGCCUGGGGCAUCUGCUGUGAUUCCCUCUGGGGGAGCACGCUUUCUGGAAAUCCUGACCCCUCUGCCUCAGUAUCAUCCAUACAGGCCGGACCUUGUGAACUGUCUCUGAAGAGUGAGUCCUCAAAGGAUGCCAAAUGUAGAAAUGGAAAGCCACAAAGAGCCAAACUCCUGUCCUGACUCAUCUGUAGCUUUUUCAGGGCCCCCCCGCCCCUGACAGGUGUGCAGCGUCUGCUCGGAGGAAGUCAGUUAACUGGGAGGCCGCCCUCCUGACUUGUUCCCUUGUACAGCUUCCCUGAAGAAUGAAUACCAGCCAUCACCACUGACUCCCAGGAACAAAGAGCAGAAGACAAGGACUGUGACAAGACUCAUGGUGCUGCAGGAAUAGGAAGAGAAGUCAAAACAAACCUACAGGCUGGGGGCUGGAGUGGGGGGCACACACCUCAAACCCGGAACUCUCACGGCAGAGGCAGGUAGAUCUCUGAUCCUAAGGCCAGCCUGGUCUACAUGGUGAGGUACAGACCAGCCGGGGUUAGGUAGUAAGUCCCUAUCUCAAACAAACAAACAAAGGCAGACCCACAUUUUGACAAUGGAAAUGCAUUUCUGUUUGUUCAUCCCUGAAUCAUUACUGCUAGGACAGUGAAAAUGGGCUUUAGGAGUCUCCGCCAGACCGCUGGAUAAGCAAGAGUUCCAAGGUAUUUCUGGCUCCCAGCCCAUCUGCACCUAGUGAAGCUGACUA